AUUACCGGUUAGUAAUUGCCGAAUGCUUGUGAGUGAUCAGUCUGUGAACUGCAUAGGGUCUCCAAGCUAAAAAGAAAAGAAAAUUCUUAUUUUCAGAACUAAAGACUUAAACCUAACACCAAAAAGGGCACACUAAAAUUAUGGAUCACAAACAUCAUGAAAACAUGUCAAUGGAUAUGGUAAGAACUUUCAUCUUUUAAAAUAUAUUUUACUUAACUAAGCUUCUAUGAUCCGUUAAAAUAUAAAAAUAGACUUCAUAAAUUACCCUUAUGCGUGGGAUGACUACUAAAAAAGCGUAUGACAUUGAGAAAGUUACUGAAAGUUAUGUCAUAAAUAGAUGGAUUUUCUAUACGUGUACGAGAAUCGAUGCUUAAGAAUUAGUAAAUAAUUGAGUAGAACAGAACAUUGUUUGUGAGUUGCAAGUGGGAGGGAAAAUUGAAGAAUAGUAUACAUUUCCGAUAAAUUCCAAUUAUUUAGUCUUAGCUGCCUUUCAAUAAGUUUAACAGCUAGAUAAAUAUGAUAAUACUUACGUAACAAACAUAUUUUACAUUAUUUAUAGAUUUAAUACGUCGAUUAACCUAUAUAUGUAAAAUUAAGUUAGCUUCUCUUUUAGACAACAAGACCAAUGGAUCAUUCAAAGCAUGUAGUAGAACACGGAAUGAAGAUGUACUUUCAUGCGUCUACUAAAGCCGUUAUUUUAUUCGAAAAAUGGAACAUAGAUUCAUGGCAAGGGAUGCUGGGUUCUUGUGCUGUUAUAUUUAUUAUUGCAGCCUUAUAUGAAGGCUUGAAAGUUUUUAGAGAAAUGCUGCUACGUCGGUCAUCCGUAUCUGUUAGGUAUAAUACAAUGCCUGUUCCCUCUCAAGGCAACGGCGCUAACGAAACUUGCACUAUGCUAAGCGAAACUCAUAAAACUGUUGGUAUGAAGAUGAUUAGUCUACCACAUUUCAUUCAAUCACUGCUACAUAUCCUUCAAGUUGUUGUUAGCUACUUUUUGAUGCUUAUUUUCAUGACAUACAAUAUAUGGCUAUGCUUGGCUGUUGGGCUUGGAGCAGGUGCGGGGUAUUUUCUUUUCUCGUGGAAAAGAUCUAUCGUGGUGGAUGUGAAUGAACAUUGUCAUUAGCAUACCAAUAAUUUCCUUAAACAUGUCGGAAAAUGUGUUGCAUUUAUGAACACAAAAAUAAUAUUAAUAACAACGUAUAACAAAUAUCUAAAUUUUUAUAGAGGAAACGUUUGAACAAGUACCUUUUGCAGCACAUAAUUGUUGUUAGGGUAAAUUGAUUUAUAUAUAUAUAUAUAUAUAUAU
rnacentral:misc_RNA from 1 species